UACAGAGGGUGCAAGCGUUAAUCGGAAUUAUUGGGCGUAAAGGGCUUGUAGGUGGUUGUAUAAGUUAGAUGUGAAAACCCUGGGCUCAACCCGGGACGUGCAUAUAAUACUGUAUGACUAGAGUAUGGUAGAGGAAAGGGGAAUUCCUGGUGUAGCAGUGAAAUGCGUAGAGAUCAGGAGGAACAUCGGUGGCGAAGGCGCCUUUCUGGACUAAUACUGACACUGAGGAGCGAAGGCGUGGGGAGCAAACAGG
rnacentral:rRNA from 1 species